rnacentral:rRNA from 1 species
GACGAACGCUGGCGGCGUGCCUAAUACAUGCAAGUAGAACGCUGAAGGAGGAGCUUGCUUCUCUGGAUGAGUUGCGAACGGGUGAGUAACGCGUAGGUAACCUGCCUGGUAGCGGGGGAUAACUAUUGGAAACGAUAGCUAAUACCGCAUAAUAGUAGAUGUUGCAUGACAUUUGCUUAAAAGGUGCACUUGCAUCACUACCAGAUGGACCUGCGUUGUAUUAGCUAGUUGGUGAGGUAACGGCUCACCAAGGCGACGAUACAUAGCCGACCUGAGAGGGUGAUCGGCCAGACUGGGACUGAGACCGGGGCCAGAAUCCUACGGGAGGCAGCAGUAGGGAAUCUUCGGCAAUGGACGGAAGUCUGACCGAGCAACGCCGCGUGAGUGAAGAAGGUUUUCGGAUCGUAAAGCUCUGUUGUAAGGGAAGAACGAGUGUGAGAGUGGAAAGUUCACACUGUGACGGUAUCUUACCAGAAAGGAACGGCUAACUACGUG